GACGGGGCCGCACAAGCGGAGGAGCAUGUGGUUUAAUUCGAUGAUACGCGAGGAACCUUACCUGGGCUCGAACGUAAGAUGACUGUAGGUGAAAGCUUACAUCUCUUCGGAGCAUUUUACGAGGUGCUGCAUGGUUGUCGUCAGCUCGUGCCGUGAGGUGUCGGGUUAAGUCCCAUAACGAGCGCAACCCUACCUUUAGUUGCCAUCAGGUAAUGCUGGGGACUCUAAAGGAACUGCCUACGCAAGUAGUGAGGAAGGCGGGGAGUGACGUCAAAUCAGCACGGCCCUUACGUCCAGGGCUACACACGUGCUACAAUGGCCGAUACAGAGGGCAGCUACCUGGUGACAGGAUGCAAAUCUCCAAAGUCGGUCUCAGUUCGGAUCGGAGUCUGCAACCCGACUCCGUGAAGUUGGAUUCGCUAGUAAUCGCGCAUCAGCCAUGGCGCGGUGAAUACGUUCCCGGGCCUU
rnacentral:rRNA from 1 species